rnacentral:rRNA from 1 species
CCACGGUGCUGAAGCAACAAAUGCCCUGCUUCCAGGAAAAGCCUCUAAGCAUCAGGUAACAUCAAAUCGUACCCCAAACCGACACAGGUGGUCAGGUAGAGAAUACCAAGGCGCUUGAGAGAACUCGGGUGAAGGAACUAGGCAAAAUGGUGCCGUAACUUCGGGAGAAGGCACGCUGACACGUAGGUGAAGUGAUUUACUCAUGGAGCUGAAGUCAGUCGAAGAUACCAGCUGGCUGCAACUGUUUAUUAAAAACACAGCACUGUGCAAACACGAAAGUGGACGUAUACGGUGUGACGCCUGCCCGGUGCCGGAAGGUUAAUUGAUGGGGUCAGCGCAAGCGAAGCUCCUGAUCGAAGCCCCGGUAAACGGCGGCCGUAACUAUAACGGUCCUAAGGUAGCGAAAUUCCUUGUCGGGUAAGUUCCGACCUGCACGAAUGGCGUAAUGAUGGCCAGGCUGUCUCCACCCGAGACUCAGUGAAAUUGAACUCGCUGUGAAGAUGCAGUGUACCCGCGGCAAGACGGAAAGACCCCGUGAACCUUUACUAUAGCUUGACACUGAACAUUGAGCCUUGAUGUGUAGGAUAGGUGGGAGGCUUUGAAGCGUGGACGCCAGUCUGCGUGGAGCCGACCUUGAAAUACCACCCUUUAAUGUUUGAUGUUCUAACGUGGACCCGUAAUCCGGGUUGCGGACAGUGUCUGGUGGGUAGUUUGACUGGGGCGGUCUCCUCCUAAAGAGUAACGGAGGAGCACGAAGGUUGGCUAAUCCUGGUCGGACAUCAGGAGGUUAGUGCAAUGGCAUAAGCCAGCUUGACUGCGAGCGUGACGGCGCGAGCAGGUGCGAAAGCAGGUCAUAGUGAUCCGGUGGUUCUGAAUGGAAGGGCCAUCGCUCAACGGAUAAAAGGUACUCCGGGGAUAACAGGCUGAUACCGCCCAAGAGUUCAUAUCGACGGCGGUGUUUGGCACCUCGAUGUCGGCUCAUCACAUCCUGGGGCUGAAGUAGGUCCCAAGGGUAUGGCUGUUCGCCAUUUAAAGUGGUACGCGAGCUGGGUUUAGAACGUCGUGAGACAGUUCGGUCCCUAUCUGCCGUGGGCGCUGGAAGACUGAGGGGGGCUGCUCCUAGUACGAGAGGACCGGAGUGGACGCAUCACUGGUGUUCGGGUUGUCAUGCCAAUGGCACUGCCCGGUAGCUAAAUGCGGAAAAGAUAAGUGCUGAAAGCAUCUAAGCACGAAACUUGCCCCGAGAUGAGUCUUCCCUGAGACCUUGAGUCUCCUGAAGGAACGUUAAAGACGAUGACGUUGAUAGGCCGGGUGUGUAAGCGCAGCGAUGCGUUGAGCUAACCGGUACUAAUGAACCGUGAGGCUUAACCUU